rnacentral:lncRNA from 1 species
CACAGCCAAGGAGGAAGGCCGGCGGGCCUGACCUGGGAAUGGAGGCACAACUUGCUGCAGGUCUCAGUAGGGAAGUCAGGACUGAGGGGGCCACAGGUACCCAGGAACAGGUGGGGCCUGGAGGCUGUGCUGAGCGCGUCCCUGCAAACGGCGUGAAAGGGAACACACCUGAGCGCGAAUCUGGGCUGAACUCUUCACCUCGCCACCUUUACAUCGCAUGCACCACAUUUCCAAGAUGCGAGGAUUUUCCUGAGUGUUUAUGCUUCUUCUACACAGUGCUUCUCUCCUUUGCUCACCAUAAUCCUGUCUCAAUGAACCAAGUUGACUCUCAUGCCCCAUUUUAUAGCGAGGUCUCUCCCACCAUGCUGGGGGCACUCUGGCUCAUUAGGGCCUGGAAAAGCCACAGGUUUAGGAGCAGCCAGAGCACAGGGGAUGCCUGCUCUGACACAACUUUGCAGCAAGAGCUUGCGAUGGGUUUCACUCUCCCUGAGACCAUGGUGCUGAAAGGACAGAACCAAGCUGCAUACGCUAAGAGUUCAGAACCACCAGGGGAAACUACAGCAAUGUUAAAACUGUGCCUGAACUCAUAUUCAGCCCACUGUGGGAAAAGGUUAAAUUCACAAAUUUUUUGCUGUUAUCAUUGAUAUGCAAACCAUGGUGAGAUUUUUCUUACUUUAAGCUCUGUAUCUGAAAUCUGGUGCCAAACUGUAUCAGUGCCUUAAUAUAGAUGGGAAGAAAGUUACAGAGAAAAGAAUAAUAGGUCUGGUGCUGGCUGUGGCUGUCAAGUUCUAUAAUUCUAUUGCAUCUCAGCUUCCUGGAGAAAUUGAAUUAAAAAGAUAAAUAGGAAUAUGAUGUAAAAUGUCAAUUGUCAUUCAAAGGCAAGCUCUCACCAGUCUUGAAUGCUCCCUGCCACCUGACAGCUCCUGGAAGGUGGGAGCCCAUUCAUCUUUGAUCCUUUCAUAAAGCCUCAGAUUUUGCUACCAAUAAAUCACGUGCCCCCUCCAAUGUUCAGCAUAGGAAGCUUAUUAAUCCAAUGCUAUUUCUGAGGGAUCAGGUGCUUUGAUCCUCUUAAAAUAUUUUCAGGAAUUCAAGACUCUAGGAUGACAGGCUAUUUGGAUGGAAAAUUGAAUGAUUUGUGUAGGUUUGCACCAGAGAACGAAAAUAAGAAAAAAAAUAUCUUCUUUUACAAUGGUUCGAUCUGGCAAUGUUUAGGCAAUCCGUGCAAGACAAAACAUAAACUUGGGAGCUCAAGGUGGUUCCUAUGAUUUGUAACUAAUGUGAACAAAAAUGAGCUCAAUAUAACCUGCUUACUAGUGAAAGUUCAACACCUCUGGACUUUGUGAAAAUUGUCUUGAGGUGCCAUUCAAUCUAGGUAAUUACUAAG